rnacentral:rRNA from 1 species
CCUACGGGAGGCUGCAGUGGGGAAUAUUGGGCAAUGGGCGCAAGCCUGACCCAGCAACGCCGCGUGAAGGAAGAAGGCUUUCGGGUUGUAAACUUCUUUUAUUAGGGACGAAGCAAGUGUCGGUACCUGAGGAAUAAGCCACGGCUAACUACGUGCCAGCAGCAGCGGUAAUCCGUAGGUCGCACGCGUUAUCCGGAUUUUCUAGUUGUAAAGGGCGGUUACGCGGGGAUGCAAGUCAGAUGUGAAAACCCCGGGCUCAACCUGUGGCGUGGAUUUGAAACUGUGUUUCUUGAGGACUGGAGUGGCAGACGGAAUUCCUAGUGUAGCGGUGAAAUGCGUAGAUAUUAGGAGGACCACCAGUGGCGAAGGCUGUCUGCUGGACAGCAACUGACGCUGAGGCGCGAAAGCGUGGGGAGCAAACAGGAUUAGAUACCCGAGUAGUC